rnacentral:rRNA from 1 species
ACGCACGCUGGCGGCGUGCCUAAUACAUGCAAGUAGAACGCUGAAGGAGGAGCUUGCUUCUCUGGAUGAGUUGCGAACGGGUGAGUAACGCGUAGGUAACCUGCCUGGUAGCGGGGGAUAACUAUUGGAAACGAUAGCUAAUACCGCAUAAGAGUAGAUGUUGCAUGACAUUUGCUUAAAAGGUGCAAUUGCAUCACUACCAGAUGGACCUGCGUUGUAUUAGCUAGUUGGUGGGGUAACGGCUCACCAAGGCGACGAUACAUAGCCGACCUGAGAGGGUGAUCGGCCACACUGGGACUGAGACACGGCCCAGACUCCUACGGGAGGCAGCAGUAGGGAAUCUUCGGCAAUGGACGGAAGUCUGACCGAGCAACGCCGCGUGAGUGAAGAAGGUUUUCGGAUCGUAAAGCUCUGUUGUAAGAGAAGAACGAGUGUGAGAGUGGAAAGUUCACACUGUGACGGUAUCUUACCAGAAAGGGACGGCUAACUACGUG